UUGGAGGGCAAGUCUGGUGCCAGCAGCCGCGGUAAUUCCAGCUCCAAUAGCGUAUAUUAAAGUUGUUGCAGUUAAAAAGCUCGUAGUUGAAUUUCGGGACCAAUUUGUUGGUCGUGCCUCGGUACGUACUGGUAUUAUUGGUUUCUCCCUUCUGAAGAACCAUGAUGCCAUUAAUUUGGUGUCGUGGGGAAUCAGGACUGUUACUUUGAAAAAAUUAGAGUGUUUAAAGCAGGCAUACGCUUGAAUACAUUAGCAUGGAAUAAUGAAAUAGGACGUUUGAUUCUAUUUUGUUGGUUUCUAGGAUCGACGUAAUGAUUAAUAGGGAUAGUUGGGGGCAUUAGUAUUCAAUUGUCAGAGGUGAAAUUCUUGGAUUUAUUGAAGACUAACUACUGCGAAAGCAUUUGCCAAGGAUGUUUUCAUUAAUCAAGAACGAAAGUUAGGGGAUCGAAGACGAUCAGAUACCGUCGUAGUCUUAACCAUAAACUAUGCCGACUAGGGAUCGGAUGAUGUUAAUUUUUUAAUGACUCAUUCGGCGCCUUACGGGAAACCAAAGUGUUUGGGUUC
rnacentral:rRNA from 1 species